AAAGUACUCCCUCCGUUUCAAGAUUCUUGUCUCAGAUUAGUAUAGAUACGGAUGUAUCUAAUACUAAAAUAUAAUUUGAUACAUCCGUAUUUAGACAAAUCUAAAAAAAGAAUUUUGGAACGGAGGGAGUACGUG
rfam:Triticum aestivum genome assembly, contig: Triticum_aestivum_CS42_TGACv1_scaffold_499505_6BL